GGAGGCUAUGCUCUUCCUCCAUGGGCCAUGAAGGUGAUGACCACAGUUGGAGACAGUGAUGCUUCUGAAUAGCAGCUGCUGGAAACAAGGAGGGAACCGUGCUCUUGUGCUCUUGUCCUGCUUGCAGGGUUUCCCACAGGCAUCUUGGUUGACUGCUGUGAGAAUAGGAUGCUGGACUAGGUGGGCUACUGGCCUGAUCCAGCGAGCUCUUCUUAUGUUCUUACAAGAUGCAGGGAUACCACCAACCAUGCUUUUCUGUAAUAAGAAACGGCCCCUGCUUGUAGAUAUAGGUAAAGGUAAAGGGACCCCUGACCAUUAGGUCCUGUUGUGACCAACUCUGGGGUUGCGGCGCUCAUCUCGCUUUAUUGGCCGAGGGAGCCGGCGUACAGCUUCUGGGUCAUGUGGCCAGCAUGACUAAGCCUCUUCUGGCGAACCAGAGCAGCACACAGAAACGCCGUUUACCUUCCUGCCAGAGCGGUACCUAUUUAUCUACUUGCACUUUGACGUGCUUUUGAACUGCUAGGUUAGCAGGAGCAGGGACCGAGCAACGGGAGCUCACCCCAUCAAAGGGAUUUGAACCACCGACUUUCUGAUCGGCAAGUCCUAGGCUCUGUGGUUUAACCCACAGCGCCCCCCACAUCCCACCGCUUGUAGAUAUAACUGAGUGCAAUUUGUGACUCCUGUUGUAAAUCACCAUUUUUGAAUAUGUGGUGAUGAAUGAAUAAUGAUAAUAAUAGUAGUAGUAGUAGUAGGCUGAUGAUUAUGAUGCUAUUUAUAGGAUAUUAACGUCCUUGUCCAGAGUUCAAUUUAUAAGGAGUGUUCAGUGGAGUGCACUUAGCCAAGAAAGCAUAUUUCACUGAGGUGUGCCUAAGAACCCACUGGUCCAUUUUUAUCUUGUUUGUUUUCUUCUGUCUGUCUAGCACUGUGGAAAGUUGAGUAUGGUCCUAUAUAAAGGACUUCUCAAUUUGUGGCCUUCCAGCAUUAUACCUUUGGGCAUUUAAGAAAACCUUUUAUUUUCAAUCCCUGGAGUUUCCUUUUAUCCUGCAGUAAGAUUGCAUCUUCCUUUAAUUCACUGGAGUUUAGUUUCAAAAAAAGAAAAUGUUUUCAAAAACAGGCUACUUUCUCCCCCCCCCCCUUUUCUCCAAUUUAUAUAUACGUGCUGCAUACCUAAAGCAUUACUGAAGCACCUGCUAUGCUGAGUAUAUCUGAAGUUGCCAAAUUUCAUCAUCCUUCCAUUAUUUCAGCAAAUUCCCCUUUAAUUGAAUGCAAAAUCCCUUUGAGUCCCAAAGCGCAGAUAAGAACCUUUUUUUCUUUUUAAAUUAUUUUUUUAAAGAAUGAUUUGCAUGAAAUCCACUAACAUGUCUAUUGGCUUCUUUUGUGUGUGUGUGUUUUUUAAAAAACCCAGCAACACAUAGAUUUGUUGCACAGCCAUUUGCUAACACAAAUUGAGACUGGGCAACAGAUAGUCUUGUUAACGGGAGCAGCGUAUCUAAAUACCUCUGCAUAGCACUGGAAAUGAAUGAAUCACCUGCAUAAAUACACUCUGUAUGUGUUAGAGUGAUGGGCUCCUGCAAAGCUGGUUAAAGGUCUCGGUUUCUAAUUAAAAGUAAUAAUCAUCGCAUAUUUUCCAGUUUGUUAUUUUAAAAAAAAGUGUCUCUGACUUUUCUCGCUCCAUGUAUAAAUUGGGUUUGAAUUGAGGUGCCAAAAAGGUUAAGCUGCAGAAAUUGUUUAGAACUUUACACUCUCUCUGCAAAAGUGUUUGCAUAGAGCAUUAAUAUGAGAUUCUGAAAGUUCCUUGCCCUCGUUUCACGUUACUUUGCAUACAUCUAAAAAUGCUCAGUUUCCUAAUUCACACCCAUUGGGCAUGUACAGGCAUGCGAGUCUCUGAACCAGUCGAUGAGGUUUUCUACCCCUGAACUUAGUCACGUACUCCUCUGCCAGAAUACUUCCAGCUCUUCAUUUCUGCCUCUGCCGUCUCUGCAUUAAACACACCAAACCAGGGACUCAAAAGGAGCGUGGGAAGUUUCUGCAGAUUGUCACACUGCUGGUCCAUCUAGCCUAGCGCUAUGCUGGAGUGUCAUAGUUUGCCUUUGAGUAGUGGGAUUUUCUUCAACCAAUAUCUGGCACAGGGUACCCUGAAUCAUAUGGGGACCAAGGCACAGUGGGGAGGAGAGGUUUAACUCUUUGCCACUGCCACAGUCCUGAACAGAAGUUCCCCACCUCACCUUGUGCUUACAAUUUGGAAUGGGAAGAAAGCUGCCAAACUCUACGGUGCCACCUCCAACUCUUUGGCCUGGUCCCACUAGUCAAAGUCAACUAUGUGACAGAUCUUACACCUAAUUAUCAGUAUUACCUGUGUGCCAGUGUGGUGUAGUGGUUAAGAGCGGUAGACUCGUAAUCUGGGGAACCAGGUUUGAUUCCCCACUCCUCCACAUGCAGCUGCUGGGUGACCUUGGGUUAGUCACACUUCUCUGAAGUCUCUCAGCCCCACUCACCUCACAGAGUGUUUGUUGUGGGGGAGGAAGGGAAAGGAGAAUGUUAGCCGCUUUGAGACUCCUUUGGGUAGUGAUAAAGCGGGAUAUCAAAUCCAAACAACUCUUCUUCUUCUUCUUCUUCUUCUUCUUCUUCUUCUUCUUCUUCUUCUUCUUCUGUGCUUUAGACUGCGACUGUAUGUAGCUUACUGUCCAAACCAAGAGUCUCAUCUGAUGCUCCACCAGCAAAGCAUGUGCUCUUUCAUCAAGCUACUGAGUUUCCCAGAUUGUUUAACUUCCCUCUCUACUCUCAGAUGCCUCAAACCUGUUUAAUUUAUUCCAUCUCCAACAGGGCACCCAGGGCAUGUUUAUGCAGGAGUAGGGAUGGCUCCACCUGUUUCUAGACCAUUCCAGUUUCACAUGUGUCCGUAAGUCUGUCUGUCCCAUUUCUACACCAACCUUUGAUGAUUUAAUUUACCUAUUUAAAAGGAAGAAGCUUGAGUAAAGCUUGGUACAUGAAGGCAGGAGUUUGGUGUCUGAACGGUGCAUCAAGGCCAUGGGGAACAGCCCUAGCAAAGGAGCAGGACAACUGUUUUGCAUGCAGAACGUCCCAGGUUCAAUCCCCAGCAUCUCCAGGUAGGACUGGGAGAGACGGCUGCCCUGGAGAGCCAUUGUCUGUCAGUGGAAACAUUACUGAACUAGGUGGAUUAGUGAAAGGCAGCUUCCUAUCACAGAACUGUUGAGUUGGAAGGGACCACAAGGAUCAUCUAAUCCAACUCCCUGCAGUGCAAGAAUCUUUUGUCCAACAUGGGGCUCGAACCCAUGACCCUGAGAUUAAGAGUCUACCAACUGGGCUCCGUACUGGAGGGACACCUUUUGACAUCUGCUCAAAGAGUCCAGGGAAUUUUAUACUGUGACCAGAUUCAUUACUUGGGAUUCACGAUGCUCCCUGUGCAACCUUGGAUGUUUAGGCACUGGGACUUGAGCAAUGUAUGUCCCUGCAAACCUUAUGAAGACCAGGAGAUGAUGGAAAUAAGGAGAUAACCCUCAGGGGCAUGGCAGAAGACCUUGUGGGAGAGUGGAGUUAUAUAUGCAGAAUAUAUAUUGCCAACAAAUUGCCGUUCAGUUCAAUCAAACCGGUACCACAAGCCAAUUGCAUUGGGACAUGCCUAAUUAGGAAACCGAAUCCAUUUGAUUUGGGAGGAGUGUAGGGGAAUUGUUGAGUGGAGACUGCUUGGUCGUAAUAUGCUUCGUACAGCAGAACACUCCAUACUAUGCGAGUGGAGUUAUGGAAGGAAGCCAUGCUACUCAAAAGGGAAUGGACUCGCUGCUGCAAUUGCCAUAUUGGCCUACCUCUGGUAACUUUGCUGAGUUGUCCCUCUCCCCUUGAUUUCCCUAUCCAGUAGCAUGAACAGCUUUGGCUAUGUUCACCCACUGAGAAAGCAGCUUCCCUCCUCCAUCUCCUCCUCCUAUUACAUUUUGUUUGUUUGGAGGGUGUGUUUCUCCUUCUG
rnacentral:lncRNA from 1 species